rnacentral:ncRNA from 1 species
UAACGAUAAUAGCAAACCUGUUGAAAAGCAGGGACGCAAAGCCACGGGUCUAAGGUCUUCAGACUAUGACAGCCGGGUUGCCGAA